rnacentral:tRNA from 1 species
CGGAAGUAGUUCAGUGGUAGAACAUCACCUUGCCAAGGUGAGGGUCGCGGGUUCGAACCCCGUCUUCCG